AUUGAACGCUGGCGGCAGGCCUAACACAUGCAAGUCGAGCGAGCGGCGGACGGGUGAGUAAUGUCUGGGAAACUGUCUGAUGGAGGGGGAUAACUACUGGAAACGGUAGCUAAUACCGCAUACCAUACGAUGUGCGCAGAUGGGAUUAGCUAGUAGGUGGGGUAAAGGCUCACCUAGGCGACGAUCCCUAGCUGGUCUGAGAGGAUGACCAGCCACACUGGAACUGAGACACGGCCCAGACUCCUGCGGGAGGCAGCAGUGGGGAAUAUUGCACAAUGGGCGCAAGCCUGAUGCAGCCAUGCCGCGUGUAUGAAGAAGGCCUUCGGGUUGUAAAGUACUUUCAGCAGGGAGGCGUUACCCGCAGAAGAAGCACCGGCUAACUCCGUGCCAGCAGCCGCGGUAAUUC
rnacentral:rRNA from 1 species